CAGUAGCCGCGGGAAUACAGAGGGUGCGAGCGUUAAUCGGAUUUACUGGGCGUAAAGCGUGCGUAGGCGGCUAAUUGAGUCGGAUGUGAAAUCCCCGAGCUUAACUUGGGAAUUGCAUUCGAUACUGGUUAGCUAGAGUGUGGGAGAGGAUGGUAGAAUUCCAGGUGUAGCGGUGAAAUGCGUAGAGAUCUGGAGGAAUACCGAUGGCGAAGGCAGCCAUCUGGCCUAACACUGACGCUGAGGUACGAAAGCAUGGGGAGCAAACAGGAUUAGAUACCCCAGUAGUCCCUGUCUCUUAUAC
rnacentral:rRNA from 1 species